AAAGAGAGAACGAAACAAGGUUCAGAAACAAACUACAGCAAACUGAAGGUCCGAGACCGGGCAGCCGCACCUUCACCUCUGAAAAAAGAGAGAACGAAACAAGGUUCAGAAACAAACUACAGAAAACUGAAGGUCAGAGACCGGGCUGCCGCACCUUCACCUCUGAAAAAAGAGAACGAAAACAAGGUUCAGAAGCAAACUACAGCAAACUGAAGAAACAAACUACAGAAAACUAAAGGUCCGAGACCGGGCAGCCGCACCUUCACCUCUGAAAAAAGAGAACGAAAACAAGGUUCAGAAACAAACUACAGAAAACUGAAGGUCCGAGACCGGGCUGCCGCACCUUCACCUCUGAAAAAAGAGAACGAAAACAAGGUUCAGAAACAAACUACAGAAAACUGAAGAAACAAACUACAGAAAACUGAAGGUCAGAGACCGGGCAGCCGCACCUUCACCUCUGAAAAAAAGAGAGAACGAAACAAGGUUCAGAAACAAACUACAGCAAACUGAAGGUCCGAGACCGGGCAGCCGCACCUUCACCUCUGAAAAAAAGAGAGAACGAAACAAGGUUCAGAAACAAACUACAGAAAACUGAAGGUCAGAGACCGGGCUGCCGCACCUUCACCUCUGA